UACGUAGGGUGCGAGCGUUGUCCGGAAUUAUUGGGCGUAAAGAGCUCGUAGGCGGUUUGUCGCGUCGACUGUGAAAACCUACAGCUUAACUGUGGGCUUGCAGUCGAUACGGGCAGACUUGAGUUCGGUAGGGGAGACUGGAAUUCCUGGUGUAGCGGUGAAAUGCGCAGAUAUCAGGAGGAACACCGGUGGCGAAGGCGGGUCUCUGGGCCGAUACCGACGCUGAGGAGCGAAAGCGUGGGGAGCGAACAGG
rnacentral:rRNA from 1 species